rnacentral:lncRNA from 1 species
UGUGUAUCACCGUGCUUGGUUCCCGGGCCACUGCCAUGGCGAUCGUCUCUGUGCACAGCGAGCCAUCAACAGCGCAUCGGAACUAGGUUGUCACGCUUUAGUGUUGGUGAGGGAAUCACAGCUCUCAUUCUAGGUGCACCCACCAAAGUUGAUGGCACCGCAGAUCAUGUGUUAUGCUUAGAUAUUCCAAAAGAUUUUGUGCCACAAACGUAUAACGACAGAUACUGUUUUGCUUAUUAACUACGUGCUA